rnacentral:rRNA from 1 species
GACGAACGCUGGCGGCGUGCUUAACACAUGCAAGUCGAGCGGAAAGGCCCUGCUUUUGUGGGGUGCUCGAGUGGCGAACGGGUGAGUAACACGUGAGUAACCUGCCCUUGACUUUGGGAUAACUUCAGGAAACUGGGGCUAAUACCGGAUAGGAGCUCCUGCUGCAUGGUGGGGGUUGGAAAGUUUCGGCGGUUGGGGAUGGACUCGCGGCUUAUCAGCUUGUUGGUGGGGUAGUGGCUUACCAAGGCUUUGACGGGUAGCCGGCCUGAGAGGGUGACCGGCCACAUUGGGACUGAGAUACGGCCCCGACUCCUACGGGAGGCAGCAGGGGGGAAUAUUGCACAAUGGGCGGAAGCCUGAUGCAGCAACGCCGCGUGCGGGAUGAAGGGCUUCGGGUUGUAAAACGCUUUCGCCUGUGACGAAGCGUGAGUGACGGUAAUGGGUAAAGAAGCACCGGCUAACUACGUG